ensembl:misc_RNA 7SK 7SK RNA
AGAUGUGAGGGUGCUCUGACUAGGAUCACCGCAGCGAUCACUGGGGCUGAUUCGGGUGAUCUGGCUGUCUAGAUGGGUGCUGCCUGCCUCCCUCAGGGCUCCGGGUGUGUGCCUUCCAGGGUUAGUGCUUGGCUUGGCUGAAGAAGACAAACACCCCCAUCAAGGAGGCCCGAUUCCUUGGUCAAGGGUCUAUGAGUAGCUGGGCUCCCCUGCUAGAACCUCCAGAAAGGUCUCAAGAGCAAUCAGAAGUCAAUUUAGAGUCACAUGUGAGCAGGACAGUGAUUACAAAAGCAAGACCCUCCCUGAAAGUGUGUUACUGCACAGGUGGACCGACAGGGAGAUGUCAAACUUUUUUU